AGCCCAUUUGUGUCGAGAGAGCACUCGCACGCUGGGGCCAGACACACCUGUGACGUCAUGUUCUCGCUACCUUGAACUUGCGCGAAAACGAGAAUCCACAAGAAGACCGGCUAAUCCUGAAAAAAAAUCCAGUGUAAGGCUGUGAUGUCUACCCAUUCUACCUUCACAUAUGAUACAACAUAUGAUACAGUAACUUAAUUCAGUCGAUGUUUCACUUACUUCUAACAGUUCUAAUUUCUCUCCAAGCCUCGCAGCUAAUGGCUUUGUUUGUAUGGUAUUCUCUGCUCUGUAUGAGUGUGAACUAAAAGAAAAAGAAAUCGUA